CCCACACCCAUGUGUGUAGGAUCCUAAAGGAUCACCAUUAAAUUUGACACAGAUCUCUAAAAACGUUAUCACCUGGGUGUGGGACUUGAUUUUUUUAAAGAUCUGUGUCAAAUUUAAUGGUGAUUCUUUGGGGUCCUACACACAUAGGUGUGGG
rnacentral:pre_miRNA from 1 species